GCCGAAGUGGUGAAAUUGGUAGACGCAGUGGACUCAAAAUCCUCCGCCGUUUUCGGCGUGCCGGUUCGAGUCCGGCCUUCGGCACCA
rnacentral:tRNA from 1 species